CCUACGGGUGACAGCAGUGAGGAAUAUUGGUCAAUGGGCGCGAGCCUGAACCAGCCAAGUAGCGUGAAGGAUGACUGCCCUACGGGUUGUAAACUUCUUUUAUAAAGGAAUAAAGUGAGGCACGUGAGCCUUUUUGUAUGUACUUUAUGAAUAAGGAUCGGCUAACACCGUGCCAGCAGCCGCGGUAAUACGGAGGAUCCGAGCGUUAUCCGGAUUUAUUGGGUUUAAAGGGAGCGUAGAGGGGUUGUUAAGUCAGUUGUGAAAGUUUGCGGCUCAACCGUAAAAUUGCAAUUGAUACUGACAGCCUUGAGUGCAGUUGAGGUAGGCGGAAUUCGUGGUGUAGCGGUGAAAUGCUUAGAUAUCACGAAGAACUCCGAUUGCGAAGGCAGCUUACUAAACUGCCACUGACAUUGAUGCUCGAAAGUGUGGGUAUCAAACAGGAUUAGAUACCCUGGUAGUC
rnacentral:rRNA from 1 species